rnacentral:misc_RNA from 1 species
UACGUAGGUGGCAAGCGUUGUCCGGAAUUAUUGGGCGUAAAGCGCGCGCAGGCGGUCUUUUAAGUCUGAUGUGAAAGCCCCCGGCUCAACCGGGGAGGGUCAUUGGAAACUGGGAGACUUGAGUACAGAAGAGGAGAGUGGAAUUCCACGUGUAGCGGUGAAAUGCGUAGAUAUGUGGAGGAACACCAGUGGCGAAGGCGACUCUCUGGUCUGUAACUGACGCUGAGAGACGAAAGCGUGGGUAGCGAAAGGG